rnacentral:rRNA from 1 species
GACGAACGCUGGCGGCGUGCUUAACACAUGCAAGUCGAACGGAAAGGCCCUGCUUUUGUGGGGUGCUCGAGUGGCGAACGGGUGAGUAACACGUGAGUAACCUGCCCUUGACUUUGGGAUAACUUCAGGAAACUGGGGCUAAUACCGGAUAGGAGCUCCUGCUGCAUGGGGGGGAUUGGAAAGUUUCGGCGGUUGUGGAUGGACUCGCGGCUUAUCAGCUUGUUGGUGGGGUAGUGGCUUACCAAGCCUUUGACGGGUAGCCGGCCUGAGAGGGUGACCGGCCACAUUGGGCCUGAGAUACGGCCCAGACUCCUACGGUAGGCAGCAGUGGGGAAUAUUGCACAAUGGGCGGAAGCCUGAUGCAGCAACGCCGCGUGCGGGAUGACGGCCUUCGGGUUGUAAACCGCUUUCGCAUGUGACGAAGCGUGAGUGACGGUAAUGGGUAAAGAAGCACCGGCUAACUACGUG